AUAUCUAUAAUGCCGAAUCCUUAUAGGUACGGGGGAACCAGUAUAAACACAGGGGAUAAUCCGUUAAAACGGAGGGGCGUGUUCUUCGAUCUCUCUUUUCCCUAUCCCGACAGCUAACCCCGGAGGCUGAACGUUAGGAGUU
rnacentral:sRNA from 2 species